UACGUAGGGUGCGAGCGUUAAUCGGAAUUACUGGGCGUAAAGCGUGCGCAGGCGGGCUUUUAAGCCAGACGUGAAAUCCCCGGGCUUAACCUGGGAAUGGCGUUUGGGACUGGAAGUCUGGAGUGCGGCAGAGGAGACUGGAAUUCCUGGUGUAGCAGUGAAAUGCGUAGAUAUCAGGAGGAACACCGAUGGCGAAGGCAGGUCUCUGGGCCUGUUCUGACGCUGAGGCGCGAAAGCUAGGGGAGCGAACAGG
rnacentral:rRNA from 1 species